AACGAACGCUGGCGGCAUGCCUAACACAUGCAAGUCGAACGAGAAAGCACCUUCGGGUGUGAUUAGAGUGGCGCACGGGUGAGUAACGCGUAGAUAAUCUGCCCUUCAGACUGGGAUAACCUCUCGAAAGAGAGGCUAAUACCGGAUAAUAAGUUUUGUCGAGUGGCAGAGCUUUGAAAGUUCCGGCGCUGAGGGAUGAGUUUGCGUCCCAUUAGCUAGUUGGUGAGGUAACGGCUCACCAAGGCAACGAUGGGUAGCGGGUCUGAGAGGAUGAUCCGCCACACUGGAACUGAGACACGGUCCAG
rnacentral:rRNA from 1 species